GGCCUACGGGAGGCAGCAGUGGGGAAUAUUGGACAAUGGGCGCAAGCCUGAUCCAGCCAUACCGCGUGUGUGAAGAAGGCCUUCGGGUUGUAAAGCACUUUAAGCAGGGAGAAAAAGUUAUAAGUUAAUACCUUAUAACCGUGAUGUUACCUGCAGAAUAAGCACCGGCUAAUUCCGUGCCAGCAGCCGCGGUAAUACGGAAGGUGCAAGCGUUAAUCGGAAUUACUGGGCGUAAAGCGCGCGUAGGUGGUUUGUUAAGUUGGAUGUGAAAGCCCUGGGCUCAACCUAGGAACUGCAUCCAAAACUAACUCACUAGAGUACGAUAGAGGGAGGUAGAAUUCAUAGUGUAGCGGUGGAAUGCGUAGAUAUUAUGAAGAAUACCAGUGGCGAAGGCGGCCUCCUGGAUCUGUACUGACACUGAGGUGCGAAAGCGUGGGUAGCGAACAGGAUUAGAUACCCUGGUAGUCCACGCCGUAAACGAUGACAACUAGCUGUUGGAAGACAAUGUCUUUCAGUGGCGCAGCUAACGUUUUAAGUUGUCCGCCUGGGGAGUACGGCCGCAAGGCUAAAACUCAAAUGAAUUGACGGGGACCCGCACAAGCGGUGGAGCAUGUGGUUUAAUUCGAUGCAACGCGAAAAACCUUACCUACUCUUGACAUACUUGGAAGCUCUUGUAAUGAGAGUGUGUCUUUUGGAGC
rnacentral:rRNA from 1 species